GGGUUGUGAGGUUAAGCGACUAAGCGUACACGGUGGAUGCCCUGGCAGUCAGAGGCGAUGAAGGACGUGCUAAUCUGCGAUAAGCGUCGGUAAGGUGAUAUGAACCGUUAUAACCGGCGAUUUCCGAAUGGGGAAACCCAGUGUGAUUCGUCACACUAUCAUUAACUGAAUCCAUAGGUUAAUGAGGCGAACCGGGGGAACUGAAACAUCUAAGUACCCCGAGGAAAAGAAAUCAACCGAGAUUCCCCCAGUAGCGGCGAGCGAACGGGGAGCAGCCCAGAGCCUGAAUCAGUGUGUGUGUUAGUGGAAGCGUCUGGAAAGGCGCGCGAUACAGGGUGACAGCCCCGUACACAAAAAUGCACAUGCUGUGAGCUCGAUGAGUAGGGCGGGACACGUGGUAUCCUGUCUGAAUAUGGGGGGACCAUCCUCCAAGGCUAAAUACUCCUGACUGACCGAUAGUGAACCAGUACCGUGAGGGAAAGGCGAAAAGAACCCCGGCGAGGGGAGUGAAAAAGAACCUGAAACCGUGUACGUACAAGCAGUGGGAGCACGCUUAGGCGUGUGACUGCGUACCUUUUGUAUAAUGGGUCAGCGACUUAUAUUCUGUAGCAAGGUUAACCGAAUAGGGGAGCCGAAGGGAAACCGAGUCUUAACUGGGCGUUAAGUUGCAGGGUAUAGACCCGAAACCCGGUGAUCUAGCCAUGGGCAGGUUGAAGGUUGGGUAACACUAACUGGAGGACCGAACCGACUAAUGUUGAAAAAUUAGCGGAUGACUUGUGGCUGGGGGUGAAAGGCCAAUCAAACCGGGAGAUAGCUGGUUCUCCCCGAAAGCUAUUUAGGUAGCGCCUCGUGAAUUCAUCUCCGGGGGUAGAGCACUGUUUCGGCAAGGGGGUCAUCCCGACUUACCAACCCGAUGCAAACUGCGAAUACCGGAGAAUGUUAUCACGGGAGACACACGGCGGGUGCUAACGUCCGUCGUGAAGAGGGAAACAACCCAGACCGCCAGCUAAGGUCCCAAAGUCAUGGUUAAGUGGGAAACGAUGUGGGAAGGCCCAGACAGCCAGGAUGUUGGCUUAGAAGCAGCCAUCAUUUAAAGAAAGCGUAAUAGCUCACUGGUCGAGUCGGCCUGCGCGGAAGAUGUAACGGGGCUAAACCAUGCACCGAAGCUGCGGCAGCGACGCUGAUGCGUUGUUGGGUAGGGGAGCGUUCUGUAAGCCUGCGAAGGUGUGCUGUGAGGCAUGCUGGAGGUAUCAGAAGUGCGAAUGCUGACAUAAGUAACGAUAAAGCGGGUGAAAAGCCCGCUCGCCGGAAGACCAAGGGUUCCUGUCCAACGUUAAUCGGGGCAGGGUGAGUCGACCCCUAAGGCGAGGCCGAAAGGCGUAGUCGAUGGGAAACAGGUUAAUAUUCCUGUACUUGGUGUUACUGCGAAGGGGGGACGGAGAAGGCUAUGUUGGCCGGGCGACGGUUGUCCCGGUUUAAGCGUGUAGGCUGGUUUUCCAGGCAAAUCCGGAAAAUCAAGGCUGAGGCGUGAUGACGAGGCACUACGGUGCUGAAGCAACAAAUGCCCUGCUUCCAGGAAAAGCCUCUAAGCAUCAGGUAACAUCAAAUCGUACCCCAAACCGACACAGGUGGUCAGGUAGAGAAUACCAAGGCGCUUGAGAGAACUCGGGUGAAGGAACUAGGCAAAAUGGUGCCGUAACUUCGGGAGAAGGCACGCUGAUAUGUAGGUGAAGCGACUUGCUCGUGGAGCUGAAAUCAGUCGAAGAUACCAGCUGGCUGCAACUGUUUAUUAAAAACACAGCACUGUGCAAACACGAAAGUGGACGUAUACGGUGUGACGCCUGCCCGGUGCCGGAAGGUUAAUUGAUGGGGUCAGCGCAAGCGAAGCUCUUGAUCGAAGCCCCGGUAAACGGCGGCCGUAACUAUAACGGUCCUAAGGUAGCGAAAUUCCUUGUCGGGUAAGUUCCGACCUGCACGAAUGGCGUAAUGAUGGCCAGGCUGUCUCCACCCGAGACUCAGUGAAAUUGAACUCGCUGUGAAGAUGCAGUGUACCCGCGGCAAGACGGAAAGACCCCGUGAACCUUUACUAUAGCUUGACACUGAACAUUGAGCCUUGAUGUGUAGGAUAGGUGGGAGGCUUUGAAGUGUGGACGCCAGUCUGCAUGGAGCCGACCUUGAAAUACCACCCUUUAAUGUUUGAUGUUCUAACGUUGACCCGUAAUCCGGGUUGCGGACAGUGUCUGGUGGGUAGUUUGACUGGGGCGGUCUCCUCCUAAAGAGUAACGGAGGAGCACGAAGGUUGGCUAAUCCUGGUCGGACAUCAGGAGGUUAGUGCAAUGGCAUAAGCCAGCUUGACUGCGAGCGUGACGGCGCGAGCAGGUGCGAAAGCAGGUCAUAGUGAUCCGGUGGUUCUGAAUGGAAGGGCCAUCGCUCAACGGAUAAAAGGUACUCCGGGGAUAACAGGCUGAUACCGCCCAAGAGUUCAUAUCGACGGCGGUGUUUGGCACCUCGAUGUCGGCUCAUCACAUCCUGGGGCUGAAGUAGGUCCCAAGGGUAUGGCUGUUCGCCAUUUAAAGUGGUACGCGAGCUGGGUUUAGAACGUCGUGAGACAGUUCGGUCCCUAUCUGCCGUGGGCGCUGGAGAACUGAGGGGGGCUGCUCCUAGUACGAGAGGACCGGAGUGGACGCAUCACUGGUGUUCGGGUUGUCAUGCCAAUGGCACUGCCCGGUAGCUAAAUGCGGAAGAGAUAAGUGCUGAAAGCAUCUAAGCACGAAACUUGCCCCGAGAUGAGUUCUCCCUGACUCCUUGAGAGUCCUGAAGGAACGUUGAAGACGACGACGUUGAUAGGCCGGGUGUGUAAGCGCAGCGAUGCGUUGAGCUAACCGGUACUAAUGAACCGUGAGGCUUAACCUUACAACGCCGAAGGUGUUU
rnacentral:rRNA from 1 species